rnacentral:misc_RNA from 1 species
AAGUCGUAACAAGGUUUCCGUAGGUGAACCUGCGGAAGGAUCAUUAACACAAAAACAAUCCCAUAUCCACCCCUUUUUAUAACGAACUCUGGUUUUACCAAAAUACCAUUGUCUCUUCUUUAUCCAACUUUUAUUUUUACCCCAACUUCUUAUAACCAAAAUGCAAUAGACUGAUAUUUAUUUAUCUUUAUAAUCUUUUAUAAAUGAUAUUUAAAACAACUCUUAGCAACGGAUAUCUUGGCUCUC